CGAGGGGGGCUAGUGUUGUUCGGAAUCACUGGGCGUAAAGGGAGCGUAGGCGGGAGCCUAAGUUGGGUGUUUAAUUCCGGGGCCCAACCCCGGGCGUGCACUCAAAACUGGGUUUCUUGAAUAGGGGAGAGGUCGAUGGAAUUGGAGGUGUAGCGGUGGAAUGCGUAGAGAUCUCCAAGAACACCGGUUGCGAAGGCGGUCGACUGGACCCAUAUUGACGCUGAGGCUCGAAAGCGUGGGGAGCAAACAGGAUUAGAUACCCUGGUAGUCCACGCCAUAAACGAUGAAGACUAGGUUUUAGGCCCGUCAACGGUCUAGAGCCGUAGCUAACGCGUUAAGUCUUCCGCCUGGGGAGUACGCCCGCAAGGGUG
rnacentral:rRNA from 1 species